rnacentral:rRNA from 1 species
GGGUUGUGAGGUUAAGCGACUAAGCGUACACGGUGGAUGCCCUGGCAGUCAGAGGCGAUGAAGGGCGUGCUAAUCUGCGAUAAGCGCCGGUAAGGUGAUAUGAACCGUUAUAACCGGCGAUACCCGAAUGGGGAAACCCAGUGUGAUUCGUCACACUAUCAUUAACUGAAUCCAUAGGUUAAUGAGGCGAACCGGGGGAACUGAAACAUCUAAGUACCCCGAGGAAAAGAAAUCAACCGAGAUUCCCCCAGUAGCGGCGAGCGAACGGGGAGGAGCCCAGAGCCUGAAUCAGCAUGUGUGUUAGUGGAAGCGUCUGGAAAGGCGCGCGAUACAGGGUGACAGCCCCGUACACAAAAGCGCAUGUGCUGUGAGCUCGAUGAGUAGGGCGGGACACGUGGUAUCCUGUCUGAAUAUGGGGGGACCAUCCUCCAAGGCUAAAUACUCCUGACUGACCGAUAGUGAACCAGUACCGUGAGGGAAAGGCGAAAAGAACCCCGGCGAGGGGAGUGAAAAAGAACCUGAAACCGUGUACGUACAAGCAGUGGGAGCACAGGUUUACCUGUGUGACUGCGUACCUUUUGUAUAAUGGGUCAGCGACUUAUAUUCUGUAGCAAGGUUAACCGAAUAGGGGAGCCGGAGGGAAACCGAGUCUUAACUGGGCGUUAAGUUGCAGGGUAUAGACCCGAAACCCGGUGAUCUAGCCAUGGGCAGGUUGAAGGUUGGGUAACACUAACUGGAGGACCGAACCGACUAAUGUUGAAAAAUUAGCGGAUGACCUGUGGCUGGGGGUGAAAGGCCAAUCAAACCGGGAGAUAGCUGGUUCUCCCCGAAAGCUAUUUAGGUAGCGCCUCGUGAAUUCAUCUCCGGGGGUAGAGCACUGUUUCGGCUAGGGGGCCAUCCCGGCUUACCAACCCGAUGCAAACUGCGAAUACCGGAGAAUGUUAUCACGGGAGACACACGGCGGGUGCUAACGUCCGUCGUGAAGAGGGAAACAACCCAGACCGCCAGCUAAGGUCCCAAAGUCAUGGUUAAGUGGGAAACGAUGUGGGAAGGCCCAGACAGCCAGGAUGUUGGCUUAGAAGCAGCCAUCAUUUAAAGAAAGCGUAAUAGCUCACUGGUCGAGUCGGCCUGCGCGGAAGAUGUAACGGGGCUAAACCAUGCACCGAAGCUGCGGCAGCGACGCUGAUGCGUUGUUGGGUAGGGGAGCGUUCUGUAAGCCUGUGAAGGUGGCCUGUGAGGGUUGCUGGAGGUAUCAGAAGUGCGAAUGCUGACAUAAGUAACGAUAAAGCGGGUGAAAAGCCCGCUCGCCGGAAGACCAAGGGUUCCUGUCCAACGUUAAUCGGGGCAGGGUGAGUCGACCCCUAAGGCGAGGCCGAAAGGCGUAGUCGAUGGGAAACGGGUUAAUAUUCCCGUACUUGGUGUUACUGCGAAGGGGGGACGGAGAAGGCUAUGUUGGCCGGGCGACGGUUGUCCCGGUUUAAGCGUGUAGGUGUGUGUUCCAGGUAAAUCCGGUUCACUUUAACACUGAGGCGUGACGACGAGGCACUACGGUGCUGAAGCAACAAAUGCCCUGCUUCCAGGAAAAGCCUCUAAGCAUCAGGUAACAUCAAAUCGUACCCCAAACCGACACAGGUGGUCAGGUAGAGAAUACCAAGGCGCUUGAGAGAACUCGGGUGAAGGAACUAGGCAAAAUGGUGCCGUAACUUCGGGAGAAGGCACGCUGACACGUAGGUGAAGUGAUUUACUCAUGGAGCUGAAGUCAGUCGAAGAUACCAGCUGGCUGCAACUGUUUAUUAAAAACACAGCACUGUGCAAACACGAAAGUGGACGUAUACGGUGUGACGCCUGCCCGGUGCCGGAAGGUUAAUUGAUGGGGUCAGCGCAAGCGAAGCUCCUGAUCGAAGCCCCGGUAAACGGCGGCCGUAACUAUAACGGUCCUAAGGUAGCGAAAUUCCUUGUCGGGUAAGUUCCGACCUGCACGAAUGGCGUAAUGAUGGCCAGGCUGUCUCCACCCGAGACUCAGUGAAAUUGAACUCGCUGUGAAGAUGCAGUGUACCCGCGGCAAGACGGAAAGACCCCGUGAACCUUUACUAUAGCUUGACACUGAACAUUGAGCCUUGAUGUGUAGGAUAGGUGGGAGGCUUUGAAGUGUGGACGCCAGUCUGCAUGGAGCCGACCUUGAAAUACCACCCUUUAAUGUUUGAUGUUCUAACGUGGACCCGUAAUCCGGGUUGCGGACAGUGUCUGGUGGGUAGUUUGACUGGGGCGGUCUCCUCCUAAAGAGUAACGGAGGAGCACGAAGGUUGGCUAAUCCUGGUCGGACAUCAGGAGGUUAGUGCAAUGGCAUAAGCCAGCUUGACUGCGAGCGUGACGGCGCGAGCAGGUGCGAAAGCAGGUCAUAGUGAUCCGGUGGUUCUGAAUGGAAGGGCCAUCGCUCAACGGAUAAAAGGUACUCCGGGGAUAACAGGCUGAUACCGCCCAAGAGUUCAUAUCGACGGCGGUGUUUGGCACCUCGAUGUCGGCUCAUCACAUCCUGGGGCUGAAGUAGGUCCCAAGGGUAUGGCUGUUCGCCAUUUAAAGUGGUACGCGAGCUGGGUUUAGAACGUCGUGAGACAGUUCGGUCCCUAUCUGCCGUGGGCGCUGGAGAACUGAGGGGGGCUGCUCCUAGUACGAGAGGACCGGAGUGGACGCAUCACUGGUGUUCGGGUUGUCAUGCCAAUGGCACUGCCCGGUAGCUAAAUGCGGAAGAGAUAAGUGCUGAAAGCAUCUAAGCACGAAACUUGCCCCGAGAUGAGUUCUCCCUGAGACUUAGAGUCUCCUGAAGGAACGUUGAAGACGACGACGUUGAUAGGCCGGGUGUGUAAGCGCAGCGAUGCGUUGAGCUAACCGGUACUAAUGAACCGUGAGGCUUAACCUUACAACGCCGAAG